rnacentral:rRNA from 1 species
UACGGAGGAUUCGAGCGUUAUCCGGAUUUAUUGGGUUUAAAGGGUCCGUAGGCGGGCAAUUAAGUCAGUGGUGAAAUCUUACGGCUCAACCGUGAAACUGCCAUUGAUACUGGUUGUCUUGAAUUUAGUUGAGGUGGGCGGAAUACGUUAUGUAGCGGUGAAAUGCAUAGAUAUAACGUAGAACACCGAUUGCGAAGGCAGCUCACUAAGCUAAUAUUGACGCUGAUGGACGAAAGCGUGGGGAGCGAACAGG